CUUUAACUCUGAAUACAAUCCCUGGUAUACACUAAAAGAAUACUUCCAAGGAGAAAAACCUCUAUCAUAGAAUUUCCUUCUAAAGAUAUUGAGUGUAAACUUCUUUAACUGCUAUUCUGGCUAGCAGAAUCUUAGAGCUGUGGACUUCUGGAACUGUGAGGAGUAAACAUUUGUUGUUUAAAUCAUCCAGUUUAAGGUAUUUUGUUAUAGCAGGCCCAGCUAUAAGACACCAAGGGAAUAUUUGCACCUUUGAUUUCAUUGUUAGUUCUUUUACCAGCCUCAGCCUUUAAUUCUUAAAAGUUCAACUGAGGCAUUGACUCUCAGUCUCUCUUAACCUCCUUUUUGUGUGGGCUAUCUCUAUAUCCCCAUGGCACUUGUGUGGCCUCAGUCAUAGGGCCUAUCACAAUUCGGUGUGAUUUAUGAAACAUAUUUGAAUGCCUAUAAGGUACUGUUUCAAGCACUCAGGAAUAUCAGUGGACAAAUCAAAAUGCUUCUACCCUUCUGAGGAAAGACAUAAUAAACAAUAAACCAUCAUACAUAAGUAAAUUUUAUAGUAUAUAGUAUAUUAUAUACUGGGAUAAGGAAAAUACAGAAUAGCUUAGAGGGAAUGAGGUGUACUGGGGCUGGAAGAGGUUCAGAUUGCAGUCUUUAACAGGGUGGUCAAAGUAGGCUUUGAUGAGGACAUGAGAUUUGAGCAAAGUCUAGAAGAAGAUGAGGGAGCUAACUGUGCAGGCCUAGAGGAGGAGGAUACCUGGAAGAGGGAAGAGCUAGCACAAAGACCCCAUGGGAAGGACAAACCUUGAAAGACUGAGAAACAGCCAGCGAAGUAUGGAGCAACAUGCAACAGACAUGAGGAAAGACGGAGAAAGGGGAAUCAGGGAGCCUCAAUUUUGUAGACCUGGGGGCCAUUGCAAACACUUUCACUGUAAGUGAAAUGGGAAUGGUUUUUUAGUAGAGGGGAAAUAUGGUCUGACUGAGUACUGCAAGAUUUGCUCUGGCCACUGUGUUGAGAACAGGAUUGUAGCGGGGCCAACAUGAAAGCAGAAAAACCUGUUAAGAGAUAAUUAUAGGCAAGAGAUGAAGAGAUGGUAAGGCCACAGGCCAGAACAGUAGCAGCAGAGGAGGGCAGAUUCUGGAUUUAAAGCCUCAUUGAAUUGGAUAUGGGGUGUAAGAGACAGAAAAGAUCCAAGGAGGACUCCAGGGAUUUUUGUCCUGAAGAACUGCAAU
rnacentral:lncRNA from 1 species